GCUGCAUGGCUGUCGUCAGCUCGUGCCGUGAGGUGUUGGGUUCAGUCCCGCAACGAGCGCAACCCUCGCCUUUGUUGCCAUCGGGUAAAGCCGGGCACUCUAAGGGGACUGCCAGCGACAAGUUGGAGGAAGGAGAGGAUGACGUCAAGUCAUCAUGGCCUUUAUGCCUAGGGCCACACACGUGCAACAAUGGCCGGUACAGACGGAGGCAAUGCCGAGAGGCGGAGCAAACCCGAGAAAACCGGUCCCAGUUCGGAUUGAGGUCUGCAACUCGACCUCAUGAAGUCGGAAUCGCUAGUAAUCGCAUAUCAGAACGAUGCGGUGAAUACGUUCCCGGGCCUUGUACACACCGCCCGUCACACCACGAAAGUUUGUUGUACCCGAAGUCGGUGCCUUAACCUCGCAAGAGGAGAGAGCCGCCCAAGGUAUGGCCGAUGAUUGGGGUGAAGUCGUAACAAGGUAGCCGUAGGGGAACCUGCGGCUGGAUCACCUCCUUUCUAGGAGAGAAGGGUCCUGGAUGAAGCGCUCCUAUUUA
rnacentral:rRNA from 1 species